rnacentral:rRNA from 1 species
GACGAACGCUGGCGGCGUGCCUAAUACAUGCAAGUCGAGCGGAACACUUGGAGCUUGCUCCAAGCGUUUAGCGGCGGACGGGUGAGUAACACGUGGGCAACCUGCCCUGCAGAUCGGGGUAACUCCGGGAAACCGGUGCUAAUACCGAAUAGUUUGAGGCCUCUCCUGAGGAUUCACGGAAAGACGGUUUCGGCUGUCACUGCAGGAUGGGCCCGCGGCGCAUUAGCUAGUUGGUGGGGUAACGGCCCACCAAGGCCACGAUGCGUAGCCGACCUGAGAGGGUGACCGGCCACACUGGGACUGAGACACGGCCCAGACUCCUACGGGAGGCAGCAGUAGGGAAUCUUCCGCAAUGGACGCAAGUCUGACGGAGCAACGCCGCGUGAGUGACGAAGGUUUUCGGAUCGUAAAACUCUGUUGUGAGGGAAGAACACGUACCAACUAACUAUUGGUACCUUGACGGUACCUCACCAGAAAGCCACGGCUAACUACGUGCCAGCCGCCGCGGUAAGAC